rnacentral:rRNA from 1 species
CCUACGGGGGGCAGCAGUGAGGAAUAUUGGUCAAUGGACGAGAGUCUGAACCAGCCAAGUAGCGUGAAGGAUGACUGCCCUAUGGGUUGUAAACUUCUUUUAUAGGGGAAUAAAAUGUUCCACGUGUGGGAUUUUGUAUGUACCAUAUGAAUAAGGAUCGGCUAACUCCGUGCCAGCAGCCGCGGUAAUACGGAGGAUCCGAGCGUUAUCCGGAUUUAUUGGGUUGAAAGGGAGCGUAGGUGGAUUGUUAAGUCAGUUGUGAUAGUUUGCGGCUCAACCGUAAAAGUGCAGUUGAAACUGGCAGUCUUGAGUACAGUCGAGGUGGGCGGCAUUCGUGGUGUAGCGGUGA